rnacentral:tRNA from 1 species
UUUAGUUUAAUUACUAAAAUAUAGGCUUGUGGAACCUAAGAAAAGAUAUUUUUUUCUUGACUUGUU